rnacentral:rRNA from 1 species
CGGAGGGUGCAGGCGUUGUCCGGAUUCAUUGGGUUUAAAGGGUGCGUAGGCGGCCCUGUAAGUCAGCGGUGAAAUCCCACGGCUCAACCGUGGAACUGCCGUUGAUACUGCGGGGCUUGAGUUCGCCCGAGGUCGCUGGAAUGCGUGGUGUAGCGGUGAAAUGCAUAGAUAUCACGCAGAACACCGAUUGCGAAGGCAGGUGACUGGGGCGCGACUGACGCUGAGGCACGAAAGUGUGGGGAGCAAACAGGGUUAGAUACCCUGGUAGUCCACACCGUAAACGAUGGAUACUAGGUGUCCGGCCCCUCGGGGCUGGGUGCCCAAGGGAAACCGAUAAGUAUCCCACCUGGGGAGUACGUCCGCAAGGAUG